GGGGGGGGGUGAGGCGUGAGGAGAGACCCGGGUGUCGGGAGACCCGGGGCACGGGAGACUACGGAGAGGCGGCGGAAGCGAGCCCAGGGUGGCCGCCGACGGGGGGACGGCGGGGGCAGACGAGGCCCGCGGUCGUUGCCGCAGAGCCUGCGAGCGCCCGGGCUGCUUCCCUCUGCUCGCUAUUUCCCCCACACAUCCAGCGCCUCAGACCUCCCUUCUUCCUUCCUCGCUGCUGACUAGAACGCAGCCGCGGGCGGAAGUGCGGGUGACGCCAUCAGCCGUCGCCAGAGCGCGGGCGCGCGGGCGGCCGAGAGACGAAAGUGAGAUUUGGAGGGCGCGGGGCGGUCCUGUGAGCCGGACGCGGGCGCCGGCCCCGCCAGGUCCGCGUGGGGCCUCCCUCUCGACGGUCAUGGCGUCGUGGAACGGAAGGAGCCCCCUUGGCUUCAGUCGAAGCGCUGAGGCGUAGACUUCCCGGACCCGAGGUUCCACUUGCGCGGUAGGAAGGGCUUCGGUUAGGUGUUGCCUGCGCUGACGACGACUUUGAGGCUUCCAAGAAGAAGGAAGAAGACGGGAGAAGGAAGUCCGCCAGGCUGCCAAGACGCUUCACGGGACGACCCCAUCGGUUCUUCCACCCGUCGGCGACUCCCGCCCUUACCUGCGGAGUGAGCAUGGUCAACCCUCACGUCUGUGUGUGCAUCUCCGGGAGGGAGUAUUGUGAACGGGGGGGGGGGGGGGCAGGGGGUUCGAGUUCAUUGGCAGGCACGUGGAGAACUGCCAGGACUUUUGAAGUAAUAGCGUAGCUCAUUGGACUCAGAAUUAUUCCCUUUCUGGUACAAUAAGAGGACAGUGGCCUAAGGACAACGAAGCAGACACCGAAGGCAGAUGUACUGGCACAGGAUGAAAAAGUAUGUCUCAGCUGACAUAGUUGCCAUUUUAAGACUGCUGAGUGCAAUUGAGCGUGCCUGCAUUUUUUUUUCUUUUUAGCAUUUUUUUUUUCUUUUUAGCAUUGGCAUUCCGUAUGAAAUGUGGGCAGUUGCCAGUACUCUGCAGAGUACUAUGGCAGAAUUGGCAAUGACUGAAUCGGUUCAUUCAAACAGAAACUCAUCAUAUUCCUACUGUGUGCAUAGUUUUCUUUCUUUCUUUCUUUCUUUUUUUUUUUUAAAUCAAAGUCUCUACUUCUAGGGGCUUUUGAUGUAAUAAGUGCCGUAGUAAAAGACACACGCUAAGCUGACUAUCCACCUGUCUGUCCCUCUCCUACGGCAGUUGCUGAGUUCCCGUGCAGAACACCACACUGGAUUGUGUGUCCCACCCACUACAGCUGUAGGUUCUAGAACCUCGGCUGGGUUCCUCUCUCCUACUCUGUAUAUCCAUCAGCACCUUCUUUUCUCUUCUCACCAGAACACUUUUUUUUUGAAUUUUUUUUUGACUUAUUUAUUUAUGAUAGUCACAGAGAGAGAGAGAGAGGCAGAGACAUAGGCAGAGGGAGAAGCAGGCUCCAUGCACCGGGAGCCCGACGUGGGAUUCGAUCCCGGGUCUCCAGGAUCGCGCCCUGAGCCAAAGGCAGGCGCCAAACUGCUGCGCCACCCAGGGAUCCCCCAGAACACUUUUUACGGUCUUAAGUCCCGGCCACAUUUCAUUGUAUGACUUUACUUCAAAUGUCAAAAGAAGAUUGAUGCCCCCCACAUUUCUGGUUCCACACUAUUUCCUUUCCUUCACAAUCCUUUAAGAGGAUUCUGUGUUCAAUAUCUCUGUUGUCUGAAUGUAACUCAUUAACCCUUUGCAUUCUAACUUCUGUACCUAUCACACUAGGAAAAGCACUCACUUUAAUUCCAUUAUUAGAAGAAAAUAAAUGUUUAUCUUUUCCAUAGUAGCAAAAUGAAUAUCUUUUUUUUUAAUUUUUAUUUAUUUUUUAUGAUAGUCACACAGAGAGAGAGAGAAAGAGGGGGGCAGAGACACAGGCAGAGGGAGAAGCAGGCUCCACGCACCGGAAGCCCGACGUGGGAUUCGAUCCCAGGUCUCCAGGAUCGUGCCCUGGGCCAAAGGCAGGCGCCAAACCGCUGCGCCACCCAGGAACCCCCAAAAUGAAUAUCUUAUUGGGACUAGUAGGAUAUAGUCAAGCCUGUUAAAAUAGAGCCCCUGCAGUGACUUUCUGUUAUUUUUAUAUAGCUUUUGUUGUCGUUUGGUUGGUUGGUUGUUUUAUUGUUUUUGUGUGUGUCUGUGUUUUUGUUUUUGUUGUUUUUCAGAGCCUUGUGUCAGAGACUUGACUAGCCAUUCAGGAAACAUUUCUUCUUCCUGGACGUAUAGCUAGUCUGAAUUUCCCAGUUUCCUUUGCAAGUUGGAGCCAUGUAGUUGACUUUUAGCCAGUGAAAUGUGAGUGGAAGUGGUGCACUCAUUUCCAGGCUUAAUAAAGUUCCUCCCGUCUUCCCUUA